AUGACUGAACAAUAAGAAUCGUCGAUCUGGUUGUUUGGUACAUGAGUAUUCAUCUUAUUUCUUUUUCACUUUUUCUGUGCAUUUGAAAGCUUUCAUAGGAAGUCAGAAAAUGUAUCUGGUUGUUAAAACAAUAUUGUAACGUACACACACAGUCCAUUUCCAGUCCCAGAAUUGAGACAGUUAGUGCAGAGGCCACUGGCUCAGCUGUGGAAACCAGACUGCACGGUCCAUCUGCACCCAUGCUGUCUGUGAGCCCUGGGAAUGUCGCUUCCUGUCUCUGGGCCUCAGUUUCCUUCUCUAUAAAAUGGGCUGAUGCUGUUCCUGCCACAGAGGCUGGUGGGAUUCAGGCCACAUACCCCGGCACAUCAGCGUUCCGUUGUUACACAUUUGAAUACUCCCAAGCCAGUUGGUAAACAGUUGACUCUCCGGGACCCCUUGCACGUUUCCACGACUCAGCAAUCAACGUGGAGCUGAACUGGCUGUGAAGCGUUUUGAGCACUGCCCGUGUUUGUCUCACAGCCCUCACGGGAAUCCCGGUUAAUAUACUCAAUGAGCGGAGCCCUGAAAACCCCGCCUGCCACCUCGUGCAGCUGUGUCACUGGGAUGGACACAGGAAGCAAUGUGGGGUCUUUGCUGCCAGUGAGCUCCCGGUCUAGGAGAAGAGAGAGGAAGCAUCUUUAUCUGUGUUAUCCCAGGAUCUCACUCUGUCACCCAGGCUGGAGUGCACUG